rnacentral:lncRNA from 1 species
AAGUCACCAAGUGUAGAACAGAGGAAGGCGUGCCAUCCUCUCAUUGGAAACACGAAGUUCUCACAAUAAUGGGAGUGUCACAACAUUUUUUUUCAACCCUUAAGAACUGUCUUUUUUUAAUGCUAUCGUGUUUUGAAUCUUUGUUGUUUUCUGAUUUCUCGUUACCUGUUCAUUCGUGACAGUUGAAAAAUCAAGCACCAGGAUUUAUUUCGCGUGGAGCAGUUUGGAUGGAGUUUUUAGCGGCGAAAGAGCCGCGAACUUAGGAUGUCUUCAGGCGCAUCACGCGCGACGACACCAGGAUGCUUUACAAGCACAGCAAGCACCUGAGUGGACGAUACAAGAAGUCUGCACAUCACUUGGUCUGGCUCCUCUGUCUUUGGGUUCACCUCUUGCCUCAAGUGGAUGGCUUCUUUAUGUCUAAUGCUAAGGCUGUCCUGCAAGGGUGUGAUGACUACUGGACCUUACAGGAGAAGGAGCGUAUGCCUCUGCUCUUUCAAACCACGGUAUGCGUGGACAUACAGGUCCUUUCCCCAGGCGAGUGGACAGCAUUUAACUAUGUCUCGGCCCCUGCACCCAGCUAUGAACUUGCUCUCCAAGGGGAUGCAAACAACCUGUACGCCUGGUUGUUGGGUGUACGCCACCAGUUCCCUGUCCAGCUAACCACUAAUCGCUGGUACCACAUAUGUCUACGGUUGGACGCCCCUCGCAAAAGCUUCAGCCUGACGAUAGGUGGCAACUCGGAAGUAUUCCAGCGGACCGUCAUUGCCCGAACAAUCCGUCCUUCGGGGCGUCUUCUGCUGGGUUGCCAACCAAACAAAGCCUCCCCUGGGGCAAAAAUGGCCACCGUGGAGCUCUACCUGUUCCGCAUUUGGGACGAUGUUGGUGAGCACAAAGCCUGCGAGGAUGGGACAGUGAUUGGCUGGGACUCACGACUUUGGGCCAUCACACGAGCCCAGGCUAGAGUCCAAGAUUAUACAUUGCAAUGUGCAUCCCAAGUUUCAGCCAGCACCCCAGACUUUGUCUCGACAUCUAGUCCACUCCAAAUGAUUUUGACUUCAAUAAUCACUGGUUCACUGAAAUCCAUCACCCAAGGACAGAGCCUUCAAUCUUUGAACCAGGCCUUAAACACAGUCCCUGCUUCAACCCCACAAGCCAGAACCACACCAGAUCCUGCAGGACUCUCUACAACAACUUCUAUACCUCCAGUGACUCUCAGUGCACCAACACAAAUUCCCCUCACAUCAGAUACUACAUUAAACAAUCUUACACCCACUAUUCAGGCUGUUUCAGCUGUUAACACUAGUGGAUUAAACACGUCCGCUCCAACUCCAGCCUCACCUAUGUCUUACAUAACCACUCAAACUACCCAGAGCACGUCAACAUCUGCCCAGUCACUUUCAAGCUAUCACACUAGCCAACCAGUCAGUACUUUUGAAACAACAGUCAAUCAUAGGACAGAAAUCUCUUCCACUGCACCAACUGUCACGACUCAAGUAACCAAUCAGACAGCGCUUCUACGAACAACGAUGUCCAAUGUAUUAUUCACAGGUAUGGCUAUUAUCACUGCGUUCUGA